UAAGAAUAAAGCGAAUAUUCAAGAGAAAGAGAACGAAGACAACACUACCAGCUUCAUAUUCUACACCAUUACUUCUCCAAUCUGUUACACUCUCGGAAGAAACUGUUGCAGGCGCUCAGCCUAUUAUAUCUCAAACAAUGCCGUUCUUCCUUCCAUUUCUAUCACAAGCGUCGCAGUAGUACGUCUUCACUUUCCCGCACCAAAGUUUCUCCAGGCCCUGGGUUGCGCCCAGCUUUUCUGGCAUCUUUUCUCCGCAGUUUCUACAAUGAGGAUUUCUUCCCCAAACAGUCAUACGUCCACGCUUAUGGUACUUGCGACAAAUGGCGAACAUGAGUCCAAAGACAAUGAUAAAGAUGAUGGUCCCUACCAUCAGCCCUUGAAAGAAAUAUCAACGUAAGCCAAUUAGUUGGAACGAAAGUUAUGAGAUACUACUCACAGACCCACUUCUUGCCGGAGUCAUCCGAUAUAUCAUCGGUGUAAGCGCUGCUGGUUAUUGUCGUGACGGCCGUUGAGACGUCUGACAUGUUUGUAAGAUACAUGCGCUCACAGGCUCCAAUGUAUCAGCGAGAUUUGGCUACUGCUGUCAUUAUAUACAAAAUUCCCCCCUGCAUUCUGCGUAACAUCUGGUAUACCAAACAAGAAUCCUUUGAUGAUGACUUGGGCGCCUUCCUUUGAUGAGCACCUUCUUUUGAUAGCAGCGCUACAUCGACCAGGAGUGUAAUGACUGGUGACGGAACACCUGGGGAUAUGUAGAGGAUGUGACGGCGUCAUUCAUUCGACAUCAGCAAGCUUUGCUUCCAUGCCGAGUGAAAGGACAUAACCACGCCCUCUUAGGGGUACUUCUCACUUUAGUGCCAUCGGAUGCACAGUAGACACAGGUACAGAAUGCAUGCAAGCGUAGCAGGAC
rnacentral:sRNA from 1 species